ACUUCUGCAAGACUGCAACAGCUAAUCUGCUGUGCAUCUGUUUUGUGUUCAGUUGCAUUUUCCAUAUGGAAGUGCGCCUUGAAACUUCAGCUCAUUGAAGAAUAUCAUUCAAAAAAACCAAAGCAACUCCUGUAUAAAAACAACUGUGCAUCACUCAUGUUUCCUCUAAUUAAUUUUCCCUUUCGUGUUAUAAAGAUGUGAAACUUUUAGUGAACUUAUAUUAAAAAAAAAAGCUCACAUCCAUGUAAGCUUACUUUAAAAAGUGAAAUAGUGGUGUCUGCAACAAGGUAAGAUCACUACUGAAAGUAUGGGUGGUAACGGAGCUGUUAUUUUAGGAUCCAAUUUUGACAUUUGAAUUCUGCCCACGUCUCACCUGAGACAUGGCUGUGGCUUUUUUGUUCAGUUGUUUUGAGGUUUGGGGGUUUUUUUGAUUAAGCAACCUACCUCUCCUCUGAAUUACACUAUUUCUGUAGAGGAAGAUUUAACUCUGUGGAAUUCUUCAAGUUCAUUCCAUUUGUCAACUUUAUUCUGAGACUUCAUGAAAAAAAGCUGAGUACCCUGACAGGUUUGAAACUGUGUAUAGUAGUAUGUCCUAUUCUGGAGUUAAACCAGAUUAAGGUUUUGGUUUGAGAAGGUAAGUGUGUGCACACAUUGGGUUGCCAUAUAUUUUCCAGAGUUUCUCAUCUGAAAUGUAUAAAGGGGCUGUGUAGCAUGAGAGUAACAAGCUUGGUGCUACAGGAGCAAGCAUGAUUUCUGUUUGUGUUCGUUCCUGUGUUUGUACAGGAGGUAGCUGCUCUCAUCUGUACAACCUGUUUGUGACUGUACUGCACAUCUGGCUUGCAUUCAUGUGAAGCAUGUGAUAUGCUACACAGUACUGACUCCAGAAAAUAAGAGUUUGAAGGCAAACAGUAGUCUAGAAAGCAAAAGUUCUCAUGUUAAAGCCACAAAAUUGGACUGAAAGGUAAGACGUGGGAAAUCCAAGCGUGUAGUAACCCCAUGCAUGCAAUUCACAGAGACGGAUACUGCUGAUGUGAACAAGUCAAAAGAAACAGGACUGGAAGAAUGAAAUCUGAAAAAUGUUGCAAUAAACGAGGUCAUUUUUUCAACUCCUCCUUCCUAGAGUAUUUGUAAAACCAUAGUGCUACUUAAAUGCCUUCAAAAAAGCGUUUGAGCUACAUCUGAAGUAAUGCUAACUCUGAAGCUUUGCAGCGCUUAAGAAGCACGAAGUUGAACAAAAGGAGGUCUGGGCAGUUCGGUACUUGCUGGCGCUGCCUCAUCAUGCCUGAGUUGCUGGUGCAGCUGGGAGGCUGGCGCCCAGCGUGGCAGGGGUCUGCCUCGAUACCCUGUGCCGCUGCGCAGCGUCCGCCCGUGCUGCUGCAUAAGAGCUGGCAGCAUGCUCUGCGUGGGGAGUCCCUGUGACGGCUGGUUGUCACAGCAGGCAAAACUGAGAGCUACUUACCUGGUAAUUCUGGUGCACUGUUGUUGCUGUCGGGUCAAUGCAGGCGCAGGUCCCAAGGCACGUAUGAUGUGGAGCUCAGGGUGCAAGGCUUGCUCGCUGUCAGGCACAACUGGGGAGGAGGAUCCCCGAGUCUCUAAGCAGCUGUGCGACAGCCAAGCAUUUGCAAGGGCGUUGUGGAGGGGACCUUUCCAUGAGGCCUUUGCAAGCCCUGGGGCUUGCCCUGCUGGAGUGCAUCCUUUUGCACCAUGGCUGUGGUGCAGAUUGUGGCAGGUGGCAUAGAUAAGUCGUUUUCUGUAAUGCUGUCAUUAAAAAAAGAUGAACUAAUAGAGCUAAAUUACAAUUGCUAGGGAAUGUCAGCAAAAGCUAUAGAAAGCACAUAUGAGCUUCUCACCCAAAACUGCAGAUUACUGGAGCAUGGACCAGAGUUCAGGAGUGUGAGGUUGUAUUUAGAACAUGAACACACAGUUUGAUGAAUGGAUAGCUGGAACUGGGCUUCCCUAUAUUUUGCAUCCAUACCCUUGACUAAUGUUCUUUUCUUAGCAGAAGAAAUUAAUGAUAAAUGGAAAGCAGAAUGGUAUCCAAUAUUGACAGGUCUUUAUGAGAUGCAACUUAAACUUCAAAUCUGUGGAGAAGAACUAAAUAAACAAUACUUGCACAUCAGCAUGGUGCUGAAUAUGCCCUUCAUUUCUCAGGACUAAGCAAGAUUUUAUUACCUUGCUGUAAGAUUUUCAAAAUGCAUGGUUGAACAGAGAGGAAGAUGUCAAACAUACUCUGCUUGCAUCACAAAUGACUGAAUGGAAACAAAAUUUUCAGUCAGUCUUGGGUCUUGAACUAGUGCAUCUGUGGAGAUAAAUCUGAUUACACAGACAAGAGAUCUCAACCAAUUUGUUUCUUUGUAAUAAUGAGCAAUAAUAAGAAUGUCAUUAUGUCAGAUGACUUCAAUAAAUACAACUGCCACCUUAUAAAAGGCUCUCAGAAGAACUGGAAAUGUGAGGAGAACCAAAAGUUGGAUUAAGUAUGCUAGAAGAAAAAAUGAUAUUAUUGCAGAGUUGUAUCAGAAUUGCUGCAAGUCAGACUACCUAAGCAAGGAUAGCAAAAAAACCUGUUUGAGUUCAAAGUGUGUGGUGGGUAUAUAUUUUAGGUAUAUACAAUCAAUUUUAGCUGGGCGGUGUGUGAUUGAAUGCUGCAUGGUGGGAGAAAAUUAACAUUGUAUUUCAUUACCUCUGCAAUACAGCUGCCAUCGUAUUACUGAUUUCUUAAAAAGAAAAAAAAAAUCCUACAAAUGUAAUAGCUAUUAGUGAUUUCACUUUGCUGCUAUAAUCUUGUCUACAGUUUUACUGAACGUAGACCACUCAUUUUAACUUUAGUCUUUAUAUAUAUAAAACAUUUUUUACAGAACUUUUGUAAAACUUUAUUAAGAAAUCAAAUAGUAACAAUAGAACAAAGUCAAUAGACAACAAUCAAUUAUAAGAAAUAGUUACAAUAGUAACAGAUAAAUAUAACUGAGUAUAUAGCUCAAGUGUAUUGAAAUGCAUUUAAAAUUGCAGUAAUUCCCCCCAACAAGAACUCCAGUUAGCAAUCAUCUAGUGUAUUAUUGAGUACAUCUAACUCGAACGAUGAAACAACAAAAGCUAAACAAUUACAUCACGAGGAGUUGAAAAGAACAGCUAUUAAAUGUGGGUGCUAGAUGUGUUGCAUAAGCUAGAGCUGAUUGAGCUCUAAUCAGAUCAAUGGGCUUUUCUAACUAUGUCGUUAAAAACUCUCAGUCAGGUUGCUAUUGGAAGUGGCUUCUCCUCGGCAAUACUGACCUAUCAAUUGAAAAGGUAAAUCAAACUUAACAUAUAGUCCAUGUACAGCAACUUCUGUAUGGGAAGUGUGGAGCUUACAAAUAAGCACAUGCAGGUUCUUACCUUCUACCUCUGAAUGGACCUCUAAAAAGACUUUGAAUAAAAUUUAAGGUUAAACCUAAGCUUGGCUUCAGCCUUCAACAGAAGAGCAUCUGACAUAAAGACAUGAAUCCCGCUAUUCACUUAGCCAAAGAUACUGAUAUUUAAAAGAAUAUUUUAAUUGCAAAUGAAAAAAAAAUUAUUUCCAAAGGCUAAAAGUACUUCUCUAUUAAGGACUGAACAGGUUGGAAUUCCACUGCAAACUGAAUUUCUAAAUGGGGGAGAGGAGAGACAUGUUUGGCAAAUCUUUCAGAAAUCACAGGAGAGUUCCCAAGGUGAGAGAAUACUAAAUUCCUUAGGUGUGAGGACUGUCUAGUGGAUUUAAAGGAACUGACAUAAGUAUCUUUUCAGUAUAAAUGUAUACCAUUCUGCUUUCCAUUUAUCAUUCAUUUCUUCUGCUAAGAAAAGAAUAUUAGUCAAGAGUAUGCAUGCAAAAAGUAGGGAAGCUCGAUUCCAGCUAUUGACAAUCUUUGCAAAUAAUCUAGAGUAGCAUAAACUGCACUAAACUAUUUGUAAGAGGAGUACUGUCAGACCCUCUUAGUAUGGUGUUCCAGCCAUUUAUCAAAGGUGUGCUGUCAAGGAGGAGAGAUGGACCAAACUGAGUUCAGACCAUCCUCUCUUUGGUCUAGUAGUAUUUGAUAGUUUCAUUACUUGCUCGCAUGAAGGAAGAGAGACAAUGCAGAUGCAGAAAGAAUGAGAGAAAAGGUGCAGAGGUAUUUGCAGAUGGCAUUAAGGACAAAGGGACUGAAAUUAUGUUGGAAGAGUCCAGACUGAUUUUCAAAAAUUAGGGAAAUUAUUUACUACAUUUAGGAAUAAUCAAAAGCAUAAAUACAAGGGAUGUCUGGCUAUACAGAAGAAUCUGGUGUUGUAGAUGAUCACAGAGUGAGAUAACAAUAUCAUAUUGUAAAAACAGGCAAACAUCAUACAGGGAUAUAUAAAUGAGAAUUUUAACUGGAAGAUAUGCGAAAUAUUUCUUCUGCUGGGAACAAAUAAGGCCCGCACUACCAUGUCCAGUUUUGGACACCACAGUUAAGGAAGGAGAAAGUCUGUAAAACAGUAACAAGAAUUAUCAAAGAUACAGAAAAUGUGGCUUAUAAAGAAAGAAUGUAGAAAUGGCAGUUGUUUUAUACAGAGCAAAGACGACUGAGGCAAGAACUUGCAGAAGUCUUCAGCUAUUCUAAAAGCAGCAGUAGAGAUGAAAGAAAGAAAUUUUACACAACCAGUGUAGGACAAAGAGCAAUGUGUUUAGAUUACAGAAAUGUAUUUGAGAAUCCGAAAAGACUUUUUAAAAGCAAGGAAAAGUAAUCACUGGAAUAGACUUCCCAUAGAGGUUAUGAGAUCCUCACUGCAUAUUGGAUAAAUAUCUAUCAAGAAUAACUUCAGUAUGGCAGAAGAGGUAGAUCUGCAGAGAUAUAAAAAAACCCUAGUCCAUUUUACAGGAUCUCAUAAUUAUGAUUUCUUUAUAAAUAGCAGAAAACUAUCAACUUGGGGUACUUAGUAAUUGGUAUGAUAAAAGGACUUGAUUGUGAUAGCCUGGUUCAAUCUCCCUGUCCACUGAUACUCUUUGUAUCUCUUCCAUUAGACAUAAACUGUUGACCAAGUCUGAGACUUAAGAUUGGACCUAGCUGCACCUAGGCUCCAUAAGGAGUUUAGAAAGCAAGAGGGUCCAUUCUGAACCUCAUGACUCAAUGGGAGAGUCUUCCCUACUCUUUCCGUCUCCUGUCUCUGUGUUCUAACUCAUUUCUAACUCAAUUUUCUUUUGGAUGUUUCUUCCAUGCAGUAAUUAAUAAGGUGAACCUUGUCAAACCACUGUUAAAAUUUGUUAAAUUCCAUCGAAUUUAUUGAACUCUGUCAAAUUAUUACUUUACCUCAGUAAAACAUACUGCUGCUUCUGUCUUUGGA